AUUGAACGCUGGCGGCAUGCCUUACACAUGCAAGUCGAACGGUAACAGGUCUUCGGAUGCUGACGAGUGGCGAACGGGUGAGUAAUGCAUCGGAACGUGCCCAGUCGUGGGGGAUAGCCCGGCGAAAGCCGGAUUAAUACCGCAUACGACCUGAGGGUGAAAGGGGGGGAUCACAAGACCUCUCGCUAUUGGAGCGGCCGUUGUCAGAUGAGCUAGUUGGUGGGGUAAAGGCCUACCAAGGCAACGAUCUGUAGUUGGUCUGAGAGGACGACCAGCCACACUGGGACUGAGACACGGCCCAGACUCCUACGGGAGGCAGCAGUGGGGAAUUUUGGACAAUGGGCGCAAGCCUGAUCCAGCAAUGCCGCGUGCAGGAAGAAGGCCUUCGGGUUGUAAACUGCUUUUGUCAGGGAAGAAAUCUUCUGGGCUAAUACCCUGGGAGGAUGACGGUACCUGAAGAAUAAGCACCGGCUAACUACGUGCCAGCCGCCGCCGUAAGAC
rnacentral:rRNA from 1 species